GACGAACGCUGGCGGCGUGCUUAACACAUGCAAGUCGAACGGAAAGGCCCUGCUUUUGUGGGGUGCUCGAGUGGCGAACGGGUGAGUAACACGUGAGUAACCUGCCCUUGACCUUGGGAUAACUUCAGGAAACUGGGGCUAAUACCGGAUAGGAGCUCCUGCUGCAUGGUGGGGGGUGGAAAGUCUCGGCGGUUGGGGAUGGACUCGCGGCUUAUCGGCUUGUUGGUGGGGUAGUGGCUUACCAAGGCAUUGACGGGUAGCCGGCCUGAGAGGGUGACCGGCCACAAUGGGACUGAGAUACGGACCAGUCGCGUACGUUAGGCAGCAGUGGGGAAUAUGACACAGCGAUCGCGAGUCUGAUGAAACGGCGCUCGGUGUGGGAUGCCGUCUUGUGGGUUAUGAAACGCUUUCGCCUGAGACGAAGCGUGAGUGACGGUAAUCGAUAAAGAAGCACCGGCUAACUACGUG
rnacentral:rRNA from 1 species